GGAAGAAAACGAAGGGGUUCGUCCCCUUUAGUUCAUCCCCUUUAGGGGAACUAAAGGGGAUGAACCAAAGGGGAAGAAGUCCCCUUUAGUUCCCCUAAAGGGGUGAAAACGAAGGGGAAGAAGAAGGGGGUUCAUCUUCUUCGUUAUCACCAAAGGGGAAGACGAAGGGGUGUUCCUCCCCGAAGGGGAACUUCUUCAUCCCCUUUAGGGGAACUAAAGAAGACGGAGUCCCCUAAAGGGGAAGAAGGGGUGUUCCCCUUCUUCCCCUAAAGAAGACGGAGUCCCCUAAAGGGGAAGAAGGGGUUCCCCUUUGGGGAAGAAAACGAAGGGGUUCCCCUUUGGGGAAGAAAACGAAGGGGAAGAACCAAAGGGGUGUUCCUCCCCGAAGGGGAACUUCUUCAUCCCCUUUAGGGGAACUAAAGAAGACGGAGUCCCCUAAAGGGGAAGAAGGGGUUCCCCUAAAGGGGAAGAACUCCCCUACGGUUCCCCUUUAGGGGAUGAAGAAGNGGGUGUUCCCCUUCUUCCCCUAAAGGGGACGGAGACUUUGGUUCCCCUUUGGGGAAGAAGAAGAAGAGCACUAAAGUUCAUCCCCGAAGGGGAACAUCCCCUAAAGU
rnacentral:lncRNA from 1 species